rnacentral:misc_RNA from 1 species
GGAGAAUGCAUGGUGAGAGAAGCACCACGAGCAGCGGCCGUGGCUUCCAUAGAAAGAUGAAAGAGGGCGUCAAUGCUCCAAAUCGGUAUGUCUCGGCCUCUGGGAAUGUCCAGAAACCCUAGCUACGGAGGGGGUCGAAGGACGCCCGGGAACUGGGGAGAUGUGCGAUGGGGCGCAGAGAAAAAAGAUUGGGAAUCAGGCAGUGGCAGAUUUGG